rnacentral:rRNA from 1 species
GACGAACGCUGGCGGCGUGCUUAACACAUGCAAGUCGAACGGAAAGGCCCUGCUUUUGUGGGGUGCUCGAGUGGCGAACGGGUGAGUAACACGUGAGUAACCUGCCCUUGACUUUGGGAUAACUUCAGGAAACUGGGGCUAAUACCGGAUAGGAGCUCCUGCUGCAUGGUGGGGGUUGGAAAGUUUCGGCGGUUGGGGAUGGACUCGCGGCUUAUCAGCUUGUUGGUGGGGUAGUGGCUUACCAAGGCCUUGACGGGUAGCCGGCCUGAGAGGGUGACCGGCCACAUUGGGACUGAGAUACGGCCCAGCUUCCUAGGAGAGGCAGCAGUGGCGAAUAUUGCACAAUGGGCGGAAGCCUGAUGCAGCAUCGCCGCGUGCGGGAUAACGGCCUUCGGGUUGUAAACCGCUUUCGCCUGUGACGAAGCGUGAGUGACGGUAAUGGGUAAAGAAGCACCGGCUAACUACGUG